rnacentral:lncRNA from 1 species
AAUACUAUCGAGACUCGAAUAAAUACUGUUUUUACCAUCGUGAGUAUGGUCACGAUACUAAAGACUGCCACUAGCUUCGCGAUAAGAUCAAGAGGCUUGUUAGGCAGGGGUGGUUAGAUCAUUUUGUCUGGAGAACGGCCCCUCAAUGUCGAGCUCCAAGAGCUUCGCAGCCACCCCCUUUGCCUCAGCAGCCUCUCCCUCUGCCUCAGCCACAGCAAGCACCAACACGGCAGGUCAGAGGACA